CACCAGCUCUAGGAAACAAGGAAGGGGAGACAGACAAACACCAAACCACCAAGCACACAGCAAACACUCAAAAGGCAAAAAACAAAUCAAGAAUCAUUCACACAUACACACACUGUCACCGGAUGGAAUCAGGGUCCAGGAGGUGUGACAAGGUAAAAUCCAGGGGGCUCAACUCCACAGCCACAGCUGAUGCCAUUGUUUACGCUGGGAAAACCACCGGCGCACAAUGAAUCUUGGGAUACCUCGGGCUGCGAAGGAUCCAGCUGUUGGAUCCUCCAAACGGAGGAAAAGAAGGCUGCAUUUCUGAGCCACAUUUGAAGGAGACUUCGAAAUGGGACAGCCUAGUCUUCAAAAACAGCCUUCAAAGGAUGCGGUCCCUGAAUUGAGACAUAGCUAGAGUGCUUUAAAGCCUUAUUGUAUUAUAUUUUGAAUUGUCAUCUGGCCCCUCAAUUUUGUUUUCCUUUACAUAAAUAAAGACCUUUCCUCCAUAAAUUGAUCUGCAAAAUAAACAAAUUGGUGCAGAAAAAUUCACCAGAAUACAGAAAAUGAUGUCUCAGAAUUUGCCUCAACAUCGCCCUUGCAUGUAGCAGGUCAUUUGGUGAUUUACUUGGAGGUUUCUGCUCAAGUGGUCUAAGCUACGAAGAUCAGAGCCAGAGCCAAUCGAUUCUCCACAGGCUGGUGGGCUGGGAACCACUGCUUUCUGUCAGAGCCUUGAAUGAGCUGGUGGGUGGAUGGAUUACUCCAUUGUAGUGAAG